GGCUUAGUAGCUCAGUCAGUAGAGUGCUUGCCGCGUGAAGGCAUGGCGUUUCUGUCGCUGGUUCGAAUCCAGCCGAAGCCC